GGACCUCAGAUCAGGCAAGAUUACCCGCUGAGUUUAAGCAUAUCACUAAGCGGAGGAAAAGGAACUAACUAGGAUUUCCC
rnacentral:rRNA from 1 species